rnacentral:rRNA from 1 species
AGUACCCUGACUGUGCUAAGGUAGCGUAAUCAGUUGGCUUUUAAAUGAAGUCGAGAAUGAAUGGGUCCACGGGAAUAAGCUGUCUCUUUUGUUUUUCCAUGAAAUUAUUUAGAAGGUGAAAAUCCCUUCAACGAGAAAAAAGACGAGAAGACCCUUAGAGUUUUAUGUUUAGCUUGUUAGUUUUUGCUGGGGCGGCAAGGAGACAGUUAACUCUCCAAUUUUAAAUAAGAUGACCUUAAUGAGAAGUUUCAAUAAACUACCUUAGGGAUAACAGCAUAAUUAAUUUUAGUUUGUGACCUCGAUGUUGGACUAGGGAUCUUUUGGCUAGCAGCCAAAAGUGAUGGUUCUGUUCGAAC